rnacentral:rRNA from 1 species
UAAUACAGAGGUGGCGAGCGUUGUUCGGAUUUACUGGGCGUAAAGGGUGCGUAGGCGGUCCCGUAUGUCGGAUGUGAAAUCCCAUCGAAAACGGUGGAACGGCAUUCGAAACUGCGGGGCUGGAGUGCAGGAGAGGAUGGUGGAAUUCUCGGUGUAGCGGUGAAAUGCGUUGAUAUCGAGAGGAACGCCGGUGACGAAGGUGACCAUCUGGACUGCUACUGACGCUGAGGCACGAAAGCUAGGGGAGCAAACAGGAUUAGAUACCCUGGUAGUCCUAGCCGUAAACGGUGUGAACUUGGUGUGGGAGGAAUUAUCCCCUUCCGUGCCGUAGCUAACGCGAUAAGUUCACCGCCUGGGGAGUACGGCCGCAAGGCUA